GACGAACGCUGGCGGCGUGCUUAACACAUGCAAGUCGAACGGAAAGGCCUUUUCGGAGGUACUCGAGUGGCGAACGGGUGAGUAACACGUGGGUGAUCUGCCCUGCACUCUGGGAUAAGCCUGGGAAACUGGGUCUAAUACCGGAUAGGACCGCACUUUAGUGUGUGUGGUGGAAAGUUUUUUCGGUGUAGGAUGAGCCCGCGGCCUAUCAGCUUGUUGGUGGGGUAAUGGCCUACCAAGGCGGCGACGGGUAGCCGGACUGAGAGGUUGGUCGGCGACAUUGGGACUGAGAUACGGCCCAGACGCCUACGGGAGGCAGCAGUGGGGAAUAUUGCACAAUGGGCGCAAGCCGGAUGCAGCGACGCCGCGUGGGGGAUGACGGCCUUCGGGUUGUAAACUCCUUUCGCCAGGGACGAAGCGUUUUGUGACGGUACCUGGAGAAGAAGCACCGGCUAACUACGUG
rnacentral:rRNA from 1 species